ACUGAUAACCCAGCAUCUUUACAAAGUGUUUAUGAGAACCUAGAGAACUUUCAGUCCUGGAUUUCCAGCGUGGAAAUAGGAUUAAAGGAAGUAGAACAGGGAA